CUCAAGAAUGCAAGUCGAACGCUAAUUUCCUUGUAGCAAUACAGGGGAGUUGGAGUGGCGCAAGGGUGCGUAACACGUGGGUAACUUGCCGUAGAGUUGGGGAUAACUUGCUGAAAGGCGAGCUAAUACCGGAUGUGGUUUUUGGAGGGCAUCUUCCGAGGACUAAAGUUGGGGACCGCAAGGCCUGACGCUCUAUGAUAAGCCCGCGGCCUAUCAGCUAGUUGGUGAGGUAACGGCUCACCAAGGCUAAGACGGGUAGCUGGUCUGAGAGGACGACCAGCCACACUGGAACUGAGACACGGUCCAGACACCUACGGGUGGCAGCAGUCGAGAAUUUUUCUCAAUGGGCGAAAGCCUGAAGGAGCGACGCCGCGUGGGGGAUGAAGGGUUUCGAUCCGUAAACCCCUGUCAUUUGUGAACAAUGUUUAUCUAUGAAUAAUAGGUGAAUUGAUAGUAGCGAAAGAGGAAGGGACGGCUAACUCUGUGCCAGCAGCCGCGGUAAUACAGAGGUCCCAAGCGUUGUUCGGAUUCACUGGGCGUAAAGGGUGCGUAGGUGGCGGGGUAAGUUUGAUGUGAAAUCUCCGAGCUCAACUCGGAAAUGGCAUUGAAUACUAUUCUGCUCGAGGUUUGGAGGGGGGACUGGAAUUCUCGGUGUAGCAGUGAAAUGCGUAGAUAUCGAGAGGAACACCAGUGGCGAAGGCGAGUCCCUGGACACACCUGACACUGAGCACGAAAGCUAGGGGAGCAAACAGGAUUAGAUACCCUGGUAGUCUAGCCCUAAACGGUGCACGUUUGCUGUAGAGAUCGACCCCUUUUGUGGCGAGCUACGCGUUAACGUGCCGCUGGGGGAGUACGUCGCAGAAUAAACUCAAGAAUUGACG
rnacentral:rRNA from 1 species